ACACAUGCAAGUCGAGGGGCAGCAUGGUCUUAGCUUGCUAAGGCCGAUGGCGACCGGCGCACGGGUGAGUAACACGUAUCCAACCUGCCGUCUACUCUUGGACAGCCUUCUGAAAGGAAGAUUAAUACAAGAUGGCAUCAUGAGUCCGCAUGUUCACAUGAUUAAAGGUAUUCCGGUAGACGAUGGGGAUGCGUUCCAUUAGAUAGUAGGCGGGGUAACGGCCCACCUAGUCUUCGAUGGAUAGGGGUUCUGAGAGGAAGGUCCCCCACAUUGGAACUGAGACACGGUCCAAACUCCUACGGGAGGCAGCAGUGAGGAAUAUUGGUCAAUGGGCGCAGGCCUGAACCAGCCAAGUAGCGUGAAGGAUGACUGCCCUAUGGGUUGUAAACUUCUUUUAUAAAGGAAUAAAGUCGGGUAUGUAUACCCGUUUGCAUGUACUUUAUGAAUAAGGAUCGGCUAACUCCGUGCCAGCAGCCGCGGUAAUACGGAGGAUCCGAGCGUUAUCCGGAUUUAUUGGGUUUAAAGGGAGCGUAGAUGGAUGUUUAAGUCAGUUGUGAAAGUUUGCGGCUCAACCGUAAAAUUGCAGUUGAUACUGGAUAUCUUGAGUGCAGUUGAGGCAGGCGGAAUUCGUGGUGUAGCGGUGAAAUGCUUAGAUAUCACGAAGAACUCCGAUUGCGAAGGCAGCCUGCUA
rnacentral:rRNA from 1 species